GAUGAACGCUGGCGGCGUGCCUAAUACAUGCAAGUCGAGCGAACAGACGAGGAGCUUGCUCCUCUGACGUUAGCGGCGGACGGGUGAGUAACACGUGGAUAACCUACCUAUAAGACUGGGAUAACUUCGGGAAACCGGAGCUAAUACCGGAUAAUAUUUUGAACCGCAUGGUUCAAUAGUGAAAGACGGUUUUGCUGUCACUUAUAGAUGGAUCCGCGCCGCAUUAGCUAGUUGGUAAGGUAACGGCUUACCAAGGCAACGAUGCGUAGCCGACCUGAGAGGGUGAUAGGCCACACUGGAACUGAGACACGGUCCAGACUCCUACGGGAGGCAGCAGUAGGGAAUCUUCCGCAAUGGGCGAAAGCCUGACGGAGCAACGCCGCGUGAGUGAUGAAGGUCUUCGGAUCGUAAAACUCUGUUAUUAGGGAAGAACAAAUGUGUAAGUAACUAUGCACGUCUUGACGGUACCUAAUCAGAAAGCCACGGCUAACUACGUG
rnacentral:rRNA from 1 species